AAGAGAUUGGAGAUUGGGGGAAACCAGCAGUGUGAUCACACACUGCCAUCUGACUCCUGCUCCGGUGAUAGAGAAAGUGAGACCAGAAAAGUAAAGGGACUUUACUGAUCAUACACAAACCACCCUGUCCACCUAACUAGCUUGGGCUUCUUGGCAGCAUGACGGUCUCUGAGAAGUCAGACUUCCGUAGAGGUGCCUGGCUGGCACCAAGGGGCAGCCAGUUGCCAUGUCAUCAGGACACUCAAGCAGCCCCACCGGAAGAUCCACACAGGGAGGGAUUAAGGAGCCACUUUGGGGAGUAGGAUCUCCAGUCCAUUCAAGGCUUACGAUGAGACUGCAACCUUGGCUGACAUCAUGGCUGCAACUUCUUGUCAGAGACCCUGAACCAGAACCAUGUUAGGCCACUCCCAGGUUCCCGACCCACAGAAACUAUGAGAUUCUAAACAGUUAUUAUGGUAAGCCACUACGUUUUGGAAUAAUGGAUGACUAAUAUAACAGCCAUGGUAAAGAAUGAAACAUAAGGAAGACUAAUAAAUAGGGAACAUAAACAAAUGUGGCAAGAAAGAAG